UAAAUUGCCGUGGUAUUUUGACCAUGCUAAGGUAGCAUAAUCAUUUGUUUUUUAAUUGAAAUCUGGAAUGAAGGGUUGAACGAAAACUUUUCUUUAUUAGAAGAUUUUUAUAAUUUAUUUUUAGGGUGAGGAAACCUUAAUUAUAAAAUAGGACAAGAAGACCCUAUAGAGCUUUAUCUACUUACAGUACCUGUAUCCUAGUUAGUUGGGGCAACUCGGGAAAUAACUUCCUUUUAUAAUUGAUCAAUAAAUUUUUAUGAAUGAGAAGUUACCUUAGGGAUAACAGCAUAAUUUUUUUUUAGAGUUCUUAUCAAAAAGAAAGUUUGUGACCUCGAUGUUGGAUUAGGAUAUCUUUUAGGAGCAGAAAUUUAAGAAGUUGGUCUGUUCGACCAUUAAAUCCUAC
rnacentral:rRNA from 1 species